GACGUAGGGCGCGAGCGUGUCCGGAUUUAUUGGGCGUAAAGAGCUCGUAGGCGGCUUGUCGCGUCAACUGUGAAAACCCGUGGCUCAACCAUGUGGUCUGCAGUCGAUACGGGCAGGCUAGAAUUCGGUAGGGGAGACUGGAAUUCCUGGUGUAGCGGUGAAAUGCGCAGAUAUCAGGAGGAACACCGGUGGCGAAGGCGGGUCUCUGGGCCGAUAUUGACGCUGAGGAGCGAAAGCGUGGGGAGCGAACAGG
rnacentral:rRNA from 1 species